UACGUAGGGUCCGAGCGUUGUCCGGAAUUACUGGGCGUAAAGAGCUCGUAGGUGGUUUGUCGCGUUGUUCGUGAAAACUCACAGCUCAACUGUGGGCGUGCGGGCGAUACGGGCAGACUUGAGUACUGCAGGGGGAGACUGGAAUUCCUGGUGUAGCGGUGGAAUGCGCAGAUAUCAGGAGGAACACCGGUGGCGAAGGCGGGUCUCUGGGCAGUAACUGACGCUGAGGAGCGAAAGCGUGGGGAGCGAAACAGGG
rnacentral:rRNA from 1 species